rnacentral:rRNA from 1 species
GACGAACGCUGGCGGCGUGCUUAACACAUGCAAGUCGAACGGUAAGGCCCCUUCGGGGGUACACGAGUGGCGAACGGGUGAGUAACACGUGAGCAACCUGCCCCAGACAUCGGGAUAACAAGUGGAAACACUUGCUAAUACCGGAUACGACCUCAGCGGCCAUCUGCAUGAGGUGGAAAGCUCCGGCGGUCUGGGAUGGGCUCGCGGCCUAUCAGCUUGUUGGUGAGGUAACGGCUCACCAAGGCGUCGACGGGUAGCCGGCCUGAGAGGGCGACCGGCCACACUGGGACUGAGAUACGGCCCAGACUCCUACGGGAGGCAGCAGUGGGGAAUAUUGCACAAUGGGCGCAAGCCUGAUGCAGCAACGCCGCGUGUGGGAUGACGGCCUCCGGGUUGUAAACCACUUUCAGCUCUGACGAAGCGCAAGUGACGGUAGGAGCAGAAGAAGCACCGGCCAACUACGUGCCAGCAGCCGCAGUAAGAC